rnacentral:rRNA from 1 species
AACACGUGAGUAACCUGCCCUUGACUCUGGGAUAAGCCUGGGAAACUGGGUCUAAUACCGGAUAUGACUCCUCAUCGCAUGGUGGGGGGUGGAAAGCUUUUUGUGGUUUUGGAUGGACUCGCGGCCUAUCAGCUUGUUGGUGAGGUAAUGGCUCACCAAGGCGACGACGGGUAGCCGGCCUGAGAGGGUGACCGGCCACACUGGGACUGAGACACGGCCCAGACUCCUACGGGAGGCAGCAGUGGGGAAUAUUGCACAAUGGGCGAAAGCCUGAUGCAGCGACGCCGCGUGAGGGAUGACGGCCUUCGGGUUGUAAACCUCUUUCAGUAGGGAAAGAAGCGAAAGUGACGGUACCUGCAGAAGAAGCGCCGGCUAACUACGUGCCAGCAGCCGCGGUAAUACGUAGGGCGCAAGCGUUAUCCGGAAUUAUUGGGCGUAAAGAGCUCGUAGGCGGUUUGUCGCGUCUGCCGUGAAAGUCCGGGGCUCAACUCCGGAUCUGCGGUGGGUACGGGCAGACUAGAGUGAUGUAGGGGAGAUGGGAAUUCCUGGUGUAGCGGUGAAAUGCGCAGAUAUCAGGAGGAACACCGAUGGCGAAGGCAGGUCUCUGGGCAUUAACUGACGCUGAGGAACGAAAGCAUGGGGAGCGAACAGGAUUAGAUACCCUGGUAGUCCAUGCCGUAAACGUUGGGCA